GACGAACGCUGGCGGCGUGCUUAACACAUGCAAGUCGAACGGUAAGGCCCUUCGGGGUACACGAGUGGCGAACGGGCGAGUAACACGUGGGUGAUCUGCCCUGCACUUCGGGAUAAGCCUGGGAAACUGGGUCUAAUACCGGAUAGGACCCUGGGAUGCAUGUCCUGGGGUGGAAAGCUUUUGCGGUGUGGGAUGGGCCCGCGGCCUAUCAUCUUGUUGGUGGGGUGAUGGCCUACCAAGGCGACGACGGGUAGCCGGCCUGAGAGGGUGACCGGCCACACUGGGACUGAGAUACGGCCCAGACUCCUACGGGAGGCAGCAGUGGGGAAUAUUGCACAAUGGGCGCAAGCCUGAUGCAGCGACGCCGCGUGAGGGAUGACGGCCUUCGGGUUGUAAACCUCUUUCAGCACCGACGAAGCGCAAGUGACGGUAGGUGCAGAAGAAGGACCGGCCAACUACGUGCCAGCAGCAGCCGCAG
rnacentral:rRNA from 1 species